AACGAACGCUGGCGGCAUGCCUAACACAUGCAAGUCGAACGAGACCUUCGGGUCUAGUGGCGCUCCGGUGCGUACCGCCUGGUAACUUGCCCUUAAGUUCGGUAUCACUCCCCGAAAGAGGUCCUCAUACCGGAUAAUGUAUUCGGACCAAAGAUUUAUCGCCUUGGGAUGGGCCCGCGUUGGAUUGGCCAGUUGGUAGUGUACAAGCCUAUCAACGCGAGGAUGCAUAGCUGGUGUGUGAGGAGGACACACCACACUGGGACUGAGACACGGCCCAGUCUGGUACGGAAGGGAGGAGAAGGGAAUAUUGGAGAAGGAGCGAAGACGUGAUCAAGCAAUGCCGGGUGAGUGAGGAAGGGCUUAGGGUUGUAAAGCCCUUUUAGCCGAGAUGAUAAUGACAGUACCGGGUGAAUAAGCACCGGCUAACUACGUG
rnacentral:rRNA from 1 species